AUUGAACGCUGGCGGCAGGCCUAACACAUGCAAGUCGAGCGAGCGGCGGACGGGUGAGUAAUGUCUGGGAAACUGCCUGAUGGAGGGGGAUAACUACUGGAAACGGUAGCUAAUACCGCAUACCAUCAGAUGUGCCCAGAUGGGAUUAGCGAGUUGGUGUGGUAUCGGCGCACCUAGGCGACGAUCCCUAGCUGGUCUGAGAGGAUGACCAGCCACACGGGAACUGAGACACAGUCCAGACUCCUACGGGAGGCAGCGGUGGGGAAUAUUGCACAAUGGGCGGAAGCCUGAUGGAGCCAUGCCGCGUGGAUGAAUAAGGCCUUCGGGUUGUAAAGCACUUUCAGCGGGGAGGCGUUACCCGCAGAAGAAGCACCGGCUAACUCCGUGCCAGCAGACGCGGUAAUAC
rnacentral:rRNA from 1 species